rnacentral:rRNA from 1 species
AGAGUUUGUCCUGGCUCAGAGUGAACGCUGGCGGCGUGCUUAACACAUGCAAGUCGAACGAGAACGGAUUAUAGCUUGCUAUAAUUGUCAGCUAAGUGGCGCACGGGUGAGUAAUGUAUAGAUAACCUGCCCUCUAGAAAGGAAUAACAGUUGGAAACGACUGCUAAUGCCCUAUAUGCCUUUAAUACAUAAGUAUGCAAGGGAAACGCUUUAGUGCUAGAGGAUGGGUCUGUAUGGUAUCAGCUUGUUGGUGAGGUAAUGGCUCACCAAGGCUAUGACGCCUAACUGGUUUGAGAGGAUGAUCAGUCACACUGGAACUGAGACACGGUCCAGACUCCUACGGGAGGCAGCAGUGGGGAAUAUUGCACAAUGGACGAAAGUCUGAUGCAGCAACGCCGCGUGGAGGAUGACACAUUUCGGUGCGUAAACUCCUUUUAUAUAGGAAGAUAAUGACGGUACUAUAUGAAUAAGCACCGGCUAACUCCGUGCCAGCAGCCGCGGUAAUACGGAGGGUGCAAGCGUUACUCGGAAUCACUGGGCGUAAAGAGCGUGUAGGCGGGUAUAUAAGUCAGAAGUGAAAUCCAAUAGCUUAACUAUUGAACUGCUUUUGAAACUGUAUACCUAGAAUGUGGGAGAGGUAGAUGGAAUUUCUGGUGUAGGGGUAAAAUCCGUAGAGAUCAGAAGGAAUACCGAUUGCGAAGGCGAUCUACUGGAACAUUAUUGACGCUGAGACGCGAAAGCGUGGGGAGCAAACAGGAUUAGAUACCCUGGUAGUCCACGCCCUAAACGAUGUACACUAGUUGUUGUGAGGCUCA